GCGGAGCCUGCGCCUCGACGGGGCGGGGUCUGACAGGCCGCUGCCUCCCAUGGCUGGUGCUGAGGCUGACGCCCGGGAUGGGGCGUGGCCUGCGCCUGGAUAAGCUGGCCCUGACAGGGCGCUGCCUCAAGAGCCAGCCCUUUCCUCCAGCUUGGAGCGUAGGCAUGCACCCCUGUGCCACAGUUUGUUCUGUUAUUGUAAAGGAAAAUACAAAUGAAUACCCUACCUUGAAAACUGGAAUUGUGUUUUUCCAACCAAAGAUGCUAUCAAGAGAGGAGUCUUAGUGGGGCAAAGCAUGCAGGUCCCAGGGGUUGAAGUCAGGCUGUCGGACUUGGCAGCAGACACUGUUACCUGCUGAGUCUCAUCAGCCCUUUCUGCUUGCCUGGUUCAGGACCUGAGCCCAUGGGAGGAUGCCAUAGCUUUUGCUUACCAACGGCUCUUCGAAUCUUGUCAAUCAUUUUCUCCAGAGCUUCAAGGCUUCUUAGCUGAAAAAGUGUUUCUUUCUGCUUGUCUGUGGAAAAGUUAAGGACAAUGAAUAGAUGCCACAAAUAUUGUUUAACUGCAAGCUUUUUGAAUCCAGGCCAUGUGGGUCUCAGAGUAAGCAUAUAGAGUGAGCAUAUGUUUUGUAUUCAUGUUUGUAGCCUGCUGCCCUGUGGCCACCAAGAGAGCAGUGAGCUUAUUCAGUACAAAUAAUACAAAGAAACAAUAAAUUCAAAUAGGAAUAGAGUUGUGUCAAACUUUCAUUCAUCAUAAAACAAAUACUGGAGGGCCAGAUGGAAUGUUUCAAAUUCCCAGAGUUAGAAAAAUGCUCAUAAACCCAAAGUGAAAGCCAUUCCACAGAGGAACAGGCCAGUGUCCUUUAAGGUCACCAGAGCCCCAGAAUAUGAGGAAGCAGCCAUGCUGGAGACACUGAGGCAGUGGGCAGAUGGAAUCCUGAUGGGCUCUGGAGCCAGAAACACAGUAGAGAGGUGGAGAUGUUUGUAUAAGCUGUGUAGAUGUGAACUGAAGCUCUUAGGAGGAACUUGUGCCUUGUGUUGAACCUUCUGCAAGGUUCUGAUUGUUAGGACUGCAGUGAUCCUAGAGAGGUUACAAUGUUGCAUGUCCAGUUACAGUGUUAGCCUUAAGCCAUUCCUUCCCACCUAACUUCCUUGGAAUGUACAAGCAGUCCCUUAGCUUCCACCAAUCCGAAAGCCAAGGAUGUCAUCAGCUCCCAUCCAAGGCCUAUAGCAGAGAUUUCUUCCUUGGUUGUAGCUACCUGCCUUGUUUCCAUCAGUGUGUUUUUACAGUAUCUUGAUCUAUAACUUACUUUGUUCCAUUACUGUAAAAACUUAGUGAAGCUGUGGCCAUGUCUGAACCUGGAGUUUGGAAUACCUGAAUCUAUGUUCCCCAGGGUUUGACUACUUAUAUUUGACUCCAUAAUAAACUCUUCUUAUGCCCUAUGAACUGAGAAAUUUGGAAUAACCCGCAUCUAUGUUCCCAGGUUCUGGUCAUUCAUAUUUGACUUCAGAAAAAAACUAUCUCCUAUGAACUGAGAGCUGGGAUUUUGUUGUUGUUUUCUUGUUUCUGCUAUUGCUAAUGUUUUUGUGGAUCAUUUAAGAGUUUUCAUGAAUGUGAGUGUCCCCAUUCUUAUUACCACCAUUGACCUUGGAAGUGCUGGGAAAUAAAUUUAUAAGCUCUUCGUGACACUUGUGAAGUUUUUUGUUAGCUUAAAAUAAUGUCACAAUGGAUGCUAUUUUAAGCGCCUUGCUUUCCUUUUUUAACCUGUCCCCCUUUUUAUUCUGAUUUUUUUUUUUUUUUUUGGUUUUCUGAUUUCCAGUUUCUUUCCUGACCAUUGUUUCCUAGGCGAUACCUACGUGACCAUACAGCAGCCCACUUAGAGCAGGCAGACACAGACCUCUGGUCUUCCUCAACAGCACUUGGUAAACGAGCAUCUUUGUUUACUUGUGCCAUCUUAGCCAGUGAUAGAGACCACAGUAUAUUUUCUGCAGUUUCCUUCCUGCUCUGUCCAUAGCUUCAAGGUCCCACCUCUGACAUGAGAGUGCCAAGAGCUCAUCCUCUUCCCAAAGAGGGACACACUACUGUGUCCUGAGCCUCGGAGAUACUGUUGCCCAGGGGGCAAGGAGGAGAAGCAGGUUGGCUCUUAGGCCACCUACCUCUUGUUUUUCUUUGGGCCUUCUGUCACAAAGCCAAAAGCCAUAGGUGUGUAUAUUCUCACUGCCUCUACUUCCCAUAACCCCCGCUGCAGCCAGUAGUCAUGGGGCUGUUUCCCUCCCUGCUCCACCUGCAGCCCUGGACAUACAGCAUCAACAUCACCACUGAACAUGGCAGAAGCUGGGCAGAAAAACAUGCCUUCUCUUGCAAGCUGGCACGCACUCACCACAGUAUGCUGUUGCCAUACAACACUCUUGGCUAUGUGGUGCACAGCCAGAAAAGUCCAUGUGAGAUUAAGAUGACCCUGGAACGGUGUGGUACAGCCGAGGCUGACAGAGUUCCACGGCUUACAUCUCACCUCCUCCCGUCCUCUGAUCUCCAUGUCCUCAACCCAGGGCAGAGUGCACAGCGUCACUUGCAAAAAUGAGGAAACACUAGUGGGGGGUGCCUCUGCUGUGUACUGGAGACGUACACGUGUAGCCAUCUUUGACCCCACCCCCGCCCCCAUGGCCACAUCUGGGAAAAGGGUGGGUGCUUCUACUCAGCAUAGCACACACCUCUUGUAUCCAAGGCACACUCUGGGGAUGCGGCUUUGAUCCAUCUCCCUCCCUUGGUAGGGGCCAUGACCAUCCAAGCAAAGGUGUGCAGCCAGCAGGUCAGCCUGGCUCACUUGCCUGUUGAGAGACUUAGAGAGCUCAGGUGGCCUCCAGGGGCAGUAGCAUUUACGGCCUUGCUCGCUCACUUGGUUGAGUGUCUUUUCCUGGAACUCUCCUGUCCCCGGGAGAGGCUCCAGCAGAGGACCUGUGUGCUGAGGCUGAAGAUGGCCUGCUACACUUGCCUCAAUACACUGCCUCUCACUGGUUUACUGGGGUCUAGACUUGACUUUGUGGGUAGUCUGUGACAUGAUCAUGGAGAGAAACUGCCUGGCUGCUGUCGGUGUGGGCAUGGGACACCGACAAAAGGCUGCAACCCAUCUCUCUGUGCCCUAGGGACCUGACAUAGGGACUGAUCAGGAAGAGGAGCAAAAACUCAGGAUGCGGGAUUCGCAGCCCUUAGAAUGAGCUGAAAGAACGCACCCCGACAAGACAGAGCACCCAUGUAGUUCUCGCCAGAUCUCCAGGUCAGAGCAGCCUAUGCAACCCUGUGUCACAUGCCCAGAUUUAGUACAAAGCUGAUGAGUGCUGCUAUUGUCUGAAGCUAUUUAUUACUCCAGAGAGAGAGAGAGAGAGAGAGAGAGAGAGAGAGAGAGAGAUUCAUGCAGGUGCCUGUGCCUGCCAGGCGGAGGCGUCACUCCAGUUGUGACUUGCUUGACAUGGGUGUUGGAAAUAGAACUUGGGGCCUCAGCAAAUGCUCUCAGUGACUGAGCCGUUUUCUCAAUCCUGUGGUGUGCGAUGUUUGCUAAUUAAACCUCCUCCCAGUUUAUGUUGCCUAUCUAAAUCCUUUCUCUGACUGAGACAAUCGUGUGAAAGCAACAGAUGGAGAUCUCUGCCUGCCUUCCAUUUCCCAGACCCACCUAGCCUCCAUCACCGAAGCAUCAUUUGGCAACAGACCCCCACCAGGGAGUCUGGUGGGGCUCUUCAGGGAUUCAUGCUUUGCCCACAUUGCUGCUGCUGGGAACUGGGGCUUCUUUUCUUUAAUGCUGGCUAGUUAGAUCAGGUUCUGCUUAGGGCUCUACACCGCAGUCCAAGGGCCCUGCUUCCCACUCUUGCCACCUUCUUCGUCUGUAGACCCUACUGUCAUAUUAUCAAGACCUCACACUAGUCUUUGGUGUCUCCAAGUCUCCUCCUAAGCUGGCUGGCCCUCAGUCUCUGUCAUGAAGUUAUAACUCAUGCAUUUUUACUCAGUCCCCUCAGAGGCUGGUCUCUGCUUAGUGGUUAGAAAUCACAUCAUUUCAGUGAGGGCUUCAGCUGUACUAAUGGGUGCUGUGUGCCAAGGGGCCAGAAUAAGUCUCUAUCAGGUCCCAGCAGCUCUGGGACGACUUGAGGGGCGGGAGUGGGGGGUUCAUGUGGUGGCCAUAGAUCAGUCUUUAGGCAUGGGCAGCAAUGAGAGCAACAUACUGGACUGGCUUGGGAUGUUGGUGACCUCCAGUGGACAAGCACAUUGUCCCCAUAGGGCAUAGCCAGUGUAGGACCUGGGUGGUACCUCAGGAUUGCCUCUCCCUUCUCAGUUAUAACCUGAGAUCUCCUCACCUAUGAGGCUAUUCUCUUGUCUCUUAGUCUGCCUUUGCCUGCCACUAUAUAUAGGGCAGUCUCUUCAAUAGGAUUUACCUGUACUCUUUCUGACUCUACACAGCUAGAAGGAUUCUUACGUAUUGUUCUAUCAGCCAAUGUCAUCAAAUUGAUGAGCGGGACAACCUCAGAGGUGUUAGGACAGUCAUUUUAAAUAGAACUGUGCUCUUUUUUAUGCCAUGGAUUCAUUAUUUUGACUUGUCCCCAGCUUUAGCAGCUGGAGAAGCCAUGCAGGAUUGAAAUGCAGGUUCCCAGGGCCUUAUACCACUACCACAUUAAUAUAUUAUUCCCUCUCCUAUACCUGAAGCCUUGGUCUGGUCACACAUGGGUUUGCUCUGCAGACAUUGUACUUGUCCAUCCUUUGCUACACGUAUACUUUGUUAUAUCUACUCUUUGGAGCAAAGAGCUAUGUCUCCUAUCCAUAUCAAUGGUAGGAGACUCAUGGUGGAAGGAGGCUUUUCCCCCAAUUCCUGUCUGCUCUAAGGGGCACUCGAGCACUUGAUUGCCCUGCUCUUUCUAGUCUAGUCUAGUCUAGUCUACCCUCCCUACUCUACUCUACUCUACUCUACUCUACUCUACUCUACUCUACUCUACUCUACUCUAUCCUAUUCUGUUCACUCUCCUCCUCUCCUCUCCUCUCCUCUCCUCUCCUCUCCUCUCCUCUCUUCUCCUCUUCUCUCCUCUAUCCUACUCUCCUCUAACCUACUCUACUCUAUCCUACUCUACUUUACUCUACUCUUCUCUAUCCUACUCUACUCUAUCCUACUCUACUCUAUCCUACUCUACUCUUCUCUAUCCUACUCUACUCUAUCCUACUCUACUCUAUCCUACUCUACUCUACUCUACUCUACUCUACUCUACUCUACUCUACUCUACUCUAUCCUACUCUACUCUAUCCUACUCUACUCUAUGCUACUCUAUCUACUCUACUCUAGCCUACUCUACUCUACUCUACUCUACUCUAUGCUACCCUAUCUACUCUACUCUAGCCUACUCUACUCUACUCUACUCUACUCUACUCUACUCUACGCUACCCUAUCUACUCUACUCUAGCCUACUCUACUCUACUCUACCCUACUCUACCCUUAGAGUCAGUUGCAAGUCUGGGAGAGGACUCAGCUUAUGUUUUUUCCUGGUAACCGUCCACCUAUAAGGAGAUAUUUCUUCUGGGCUAUCCAGGUCUGGAUUAUGCAGAGGCAGGCCCAGGACAGGUCUUGGGAGCUGUGGGAUGCUGAGCUCCAAUGCAGGACUAGACACUUGAGACAUCCUAAGGCUUGGGACAUAGUAGGAAACCUACCUAACUAGGUGAAGCAGCCACAGGCUUUAGCAGAAGAAUCUGCCCUUCUCCAAGUAGAACCAUCCAUCUACACUUGGCUGGCUGAGGCUCCUCCGUUAAGUUCUGUGGUGGUUUGAAUAAGAAUGGCCCCCAUAGACUCAUGUGUCAGAAUGCGUGGUCCAUAGAAGAGUGACACUAUUAGGAGGUGUGGUCUUGUCAGAGUAGGUAUGGCAUUGUUGGAAAAAGUGUGUCACUAUGGGGACAGGCUUUGAGGUCUCCCAUGCUCAAGCUCUGUUCACUGUGGAACACAGUCUCCUGCUGUCUUCAGAUCAAGAUGCAGAACUCUCAGUCCUUCUCCAGCAAUAUGUCUUCUGCAUGCUGCCAUACUUCCCUCCAUGAUGAUAAAGGACUAAACCUCUGAAACUGUAAGCCAGCCCCAAUUAAAUGUUUUCCUUUAUAAGUGUUGCCUUGGUCAUGGUAUCUCUUCACAGCAGUGAAAGCCCUAACUAAGAGAGAGGUUCUGCAUCCAGGAAGGGAUUGUGGGGUUAUAUUUACCAUCAAAGGAAAGGGUAUGCGGGGUCCCAGAAGAUGACUGCUUAUGAUGUCUUCUAGAAGCAGUGGAUUCUUUGAUGAGGAUUUCUUUAAGGAAAAACAUUGAAAGAAACAGGGAAGUGUUUUCCUAUUACAUUUUUGUAAACAUUUUUAGACAGAGCCCUAUUUUCUAACACUGGGCUGGAAGGUUGAUGGCACAGGGUUUAAAUUCUAAUUAAAAUUUUGUGCUGGAAAGUUAAAUCUUUAGUCGGCUGUCACCCAACUACCUUGAUCCUGGUGGAUUGGGACUAGGAAGCUACAGGGUGAACCUUAUGAUCUAGUCACAUCUGCACAAGAACCUCCCAGGAAGUGUUGAGCCUACCUCUGAGUGCGUUUCUCCAAGAUCCUGUGCUUUGCAAAGUAUGUGCUUUCCCUCUGUCCUCCCACUGUCCUUGACUUUAGGCACCUUAUAUGCUGGACCUUGGCCACUUAGUGUAAUAGAAGGGCUUCCCUUAGAAGCCAUAGGUGAGCACAAGCAGAUGGUAUGUGUUUAUAAUGACCUGGCUCAUUCUGUGUUCCUGCAGUGACUGAACCCUAUUCUGAUCCUGGGUCUAAUAACAUGUAUGAAUGUCACUCAGAGAUCACUGCAGAGGGAAGCAAGCCUCUUCUGUCUUGGAGGUGACUCCCUCCAGCUCAGGAAGGCUCUAACAGUGGCCUUAGAUCUUGGCUUCUCUUGUGUAUCUACUUGCUCCUGCCCAAAUAUGGCUGGAUCUACUGAGUGCUCGUGAAAUAGCGCCACAUAUUCAACACUGCAGGUCUAAAGGGACUUGGCAAUUGAGGGGUGAAAGGGUAUACUUGCUUCUUUCCUUCGUUGUUUUUUGUUGUAAAGUUGUUGGUGGGCUUCGACUUUCAAAAUAUGGCGCUUUCCCUGGCUCCAGAAUCUCCCGGACUAGAAUUUCAUCUUGGAAAAAGCACACAAGAACAUGAUACAGAGACAGUAAUGUAGGGUCAAUGUUCUGUGAAGAAUUUGAACUUCAGGUAGCCUGCCGUACUGUGAAUAGGAAACUCAACUUGUGGACAGUGGCCUUACUCUGGGUAAUUAAUCUGUGGAUGCUGCCCAUUCUGCUGCCUCUCUUAGUUCAGGAAGAUUAUGAUCAUUGGAGUAUCCUCUGAGCACCCUUAUAAUCCAGAUGUUGAAGGUCCCUUGAUGCCCGUGUCUUAGAAGGCUUGAUUCCUCAGAGGUGCUACUGGGAGUUGGUGGAACCUCUGUAGGAGGUGGGGCCUAGUGAAAGGGCUUUAGGUCAAUGGGGGUAUCUACAAGGGAGGUGGUGGAACCUCUGUAGGAGGUGGGGCCUAGUGGGAGGGCUUUAGGUCAAUGGGGGUAUCUACAAGGGAGGUGGUGGAACCUCUGUAGGAGGUGGGGCCUAGUGGGAGGGCUUAGGGUCAAUGGGGGUAUCUACUUCCUUGGUGGGAUCCUGGUCCUUUACUCUCUCUUGCUUCUUGGACAUGAAGUAAAUGUUUUGUACAACCACACACUCACACCAUGACAUGUAACCAGUUGCUCAAAGCAACAUAGUUAAUCAAACAAGGUCUGGAAACUCUAAAACUGAUCCCAGAUAAACCUUUGUCCUUUAUAAAUGAUGACCCCCGGCAUUUUGACAUAGUGAGGAUAAUCUACCACAUCCUUUGAAGUCAAUUCCAAAACCCAGCCCUGAUCAUGAUUCACAUUCCUGUCCACUAUCAUUCUGCCCUGACUCUGCCCUCAAGUACUGACAGAACAACUUUUCUUGUAUUCUAAACAUGUUCAGCUUUUCUUCUGAGACGACGUACAGUGUCUGCAUAGUUUAACUCUGGAUAGUCUAGAACUCACUAUAUAAACCAGUCUUGCCUUGAUCUCAGAUAUCUGCCUGCCCCUGCCACCAAGUGCUGGGAUUAAAGGUGUGCACAUGCCACCAUAUCCAGCCAGUCUGUCUUCUUUUAUUUUCAUUCCCAGGAAGUCCCUUAUAUACAUCCUGGACUUUGUAGCCAACCAGUUCCAACCCUCAUUCUGGCUUUGUUCUCACAUAGACCUGAGUAAGGAUGAAUGUCUUCAUGUCUCUGACCCUCAGUACCUUCUGUAAAAUGGGGUGCUUGUUUGUGAGGCUUGUGGCAUCCCACACUGUGCGAGUGUCAUAGCGGGAGCUAGAGAAGCAGCAGCUGGAAAUUUGCCCAUCCCUGCAGCAUGAUGGCCAUCCGGGACCAUACUCAGAAGUUACCUCGAGUACGUGUGUGGCCUGCUCAUCUCAGUGUCAGAAGAUGAGGCCAGUGCAUGGAGGGAAGUAUGACUGCUGCAGGUAACACAGUAGAGGCUUGGGAGGUUAGACGGGGUAACAUAGGUGAACUGGGAAACACUCAUUUACUCAUGUGAUCAGCCGUCAGUCAAGCUGUCCACAAUGAUUCCCCAGCCCAGACUCAGAAACAAGCAGACCUGACCUUCCUGGAAGAAGUCCCUCGGGGGAUGGGUCUCUGUCACCUGACAUUCCCAUCAUGAGCUUCCUGAUGAGGCUCACCUCUGAGAGCAGCUUCACACUCACACCCUGUCCUCCCUUACUACCCAUACUCACUACUGACCCUGUUUGACUGGUGAUCGUGGGUAGACUGACGCCCAGGGUCUUAAGCUGCAAGUCAGACUCUGCUCAGACAGCUUCUGUAGGCCUUACUUUACCAAGUGUAAAAUGAGGAUUGCAAAGGGUGGUGAUCACAGUGCAUAGGACAGACCUGGGGACAUGAACACCGAAGGGUAUAUAGCUGGUCCAGACAGAAUUGACCUCUGAGUGGGAUCUACACAAGGCAUUUUGUAGAUUUGGUGCUAAAGACCGACUAGCACAUCAGUCCCUGGCGUUGCUUACAUGCUGAAGUGCUUUCCCAAGUGGACCAUGCUGGUUUGGAGUAUGGCUACCAGAGAACUUAGCCUUACAUCUGCAGUUUGUACUCUGCCUCUGAGGGACAGUGUGGGUCAGACCAAUGGCCUUAAUCCUGUUGUGCUCUGAGCCCUUACCAGAGUUUUGUAGGAAAUCCUAAAGUGAGGCCACAAAGGCUGAAACCCCAGGAGAGCCCAGGUCCUCACCCCUAGGGACUGUCCUACGUGCUCCUGAGGCCAAGGAGCUGUUCCUCGGUCUCAUACUCCUCAGUCGUACGCAUACUGCAUCAGUAUGUAGAGCUGGAUGUGGUUUCUGAUGUGCAAGGCUUGAGCAGAGCUUGAUGCAGGGUGUAUGAAACAAGUCUCUGGGUGACAGACAUACUAGUGGUCUCUGGACACCACACUGAGAGGCAAAGCUCCAAGUGUGAUUUGGUUCCGAUGGUUAUUCUAUGAUUUAAGUGAUUUAACACUAAAGCCGUGGACCAGAAGAAUGUGGUUCUGACCUCAAACCAGUUCAGUUCCUACAGUGCCUAUGACUGACACCUGACUGUCUGGGAAGGUUUGGGGAGUACCCGCCCCGCCCCUCACCAUGGACAGGUGCUCCAUCUGGAGAGGCCUUACCGAACACUGUAGCUAUAUCACCGUCCACAGUUUCAAAAUUUGGCCAUUGCUUACCACUUGAACCUGAUAGGAAAACAAAACAAAAUAAAAACUCAAUCCUAUAGUUUUACAACAUUAAUUGAUUUUCACCCCCCUCUGUGAAUGGAUUGUUGUGAGAUGACCUCAGACUACUGUACAGAAAGGACCCAGCAAGGAGUGCUGCUCCUGCCCAUGGAGUCUGAGGAAGCCCCCUGGGACCUGAGCUGCUCCUGUGGAAGAUGGGAAAGGUGUUACCCAUGUAGCAGCUGUGCUUGUGGAAACCAGAACUCCCCAUGGCACUGACUAGAACCUGCCCUCCUGGUCACUAGAGUCACCUGGAGGAUGGUAAGAUAGUGUCCAUGGCCCACAUUUCUGACUCUAGAGGAAAAUGCCCAGUGCCAUCUGGGCCCCCUGCGCAUAGGGACCCAGGAGCAGUAGGGGCAGGGCCCUUCUGGUUGCUGCCCUCACGGAGAGCUGAAAACCAGCCCUGAGGAGUGUGACUUCAGGCCCAAGACCAGAGGUAAGACCAACUUUUCUGCUCCAAGUGACCUGCCUGGUGGACUCAGGACACACAAAGGCAAAAUUCCUCUGGGACCAGACACUGUUUCUAGCUGGUGCCUGAACCUCACUGAUCCCGGCCCACGCCUCCCUGCUCCCAAACCCCGUGGGAGAGAGAGCUGAUCACCUAGAAGUGUGGGCAAUCCUGAGACUUCAGGGCAGGAGAGACUGCCACUUCUGCCCACCUUUGCCCACAUCCCUGGCCCAAGAGGAAACUGUAUAGUGUCUCUGGACACAGGACAAUAGGAGCAGUCAAGCUGCAGGAGCCCUGCGGUCCAGCCUGCGCCGGGAUCUGAACUGAACAAGUCAAACAGCUCCCUGUACCCAAAUCCGGUGUGGGGAAGAGCUAGACCUUCAGAGGGGCAAACACUCCUGGGAAACCAGAGGACACUACUCUCUGCCCACAUUCCUGACUCAAGAGGAAAAUGCCUUGUGCCAUCUGUGCCCCCUGCGCACAGGGACAUAGGAGAAGUAGGGGCAGGCCAUUCUGGUUCCCGCCCACAGGGACAGCUGAAAGCCAGCGGACAGGAGCGACUACAGGCUUGAGAGCAGAACACUCUGUUCCCAUAACUGGCUGAAAGAAAACAGGAAAACAGGUCUACAGCCUUCCUGACACACAGGCCUACAGGACGGUCAAGACACUGUCAGAAACAGCAAGACAAGAUAACACCAGAGACAACCUGAUGGCGAGAGGCAAGCACAGGAACCCAAGCAACAGAAACCAAGACUACAUUGCAUCACUAGAGCCCAGUUCUCCCACCAAAGCAAACAUUGAAUAGCCAAACACACCAGAAAAGUAAGGUCUAGAUUUAAAAAUCACAUUUUAACAUGAUGAUGGAGGACUUUAAGGAGGUCAUAAAUAACUCCCUUAAGGAAAUAUAGGACAACACAAGGAAACAACUAGAAGCCCUUAAAGAGGAAAGAGAAAAAUCCCUUAAAGAACUACUGGAAAAAAACAACAAAACAGGAGAAGGAAAUGAACAAAACCAUCCAGGAGUUAAAAAAGGAAAUAGAAACAAUAAAGAAAUCACAAAGGGAGACAACCCUGGACAUAGAAAACCUAGGGAAGAGAUCAGGAGUCACAGAUGCGAGCAUCACCAACAGAAUACAAGAGAUAGAAGAGAGAAUCUUAGGAGCAGAAGAUUCCAUAGAAAUCAUCAACACAACUGUCAAAGAUAAUGUAAAACUGAAAAAGCUACUGGUCCAAAACAUACAGGAAAUCCAGGACUCAAUGAGAAGAUCAAACCUAAGAAUAAUAGGUAUAGAAGAGAGUGAAGGGGGCUGGGGAUUUAGCUCAGUGGUAGAGCGCUUACCUAGGAAGCGCAAGGCCCUGGGUUCGGUCCCCAGCUCCGGAAAAAAAAAAAAAAAAAGAAUCGACAGAUGGGAUUUCAUAAAACUGCAAAGCUUCUGUAAGGCAAAGGACACUGUUGUUAAGACAAACCGACAACCAACAGAUUGGAAAAAGAUCUUUACCAAUCCUACAACUGAUAGAGGGCUUAUAUCCAAAAUAUAAAAACAACUCAAGAAGUUAGACCGCAGGGAGACAAAUAACCCUAUUAAAAAAUGGGGUUCAGAGCUAAACAAAGAAUUCACAGCUGAGGAAUGUCGAAUGGCUGAGAAACACCUAAAGAAGUGUUCAACAUCUUUAGUCAUAAGGGAAAUGCAAAUCAAAACAACCCUGAGAUUCGACCUCAUGCCAGUCAGAAUGGCUAAGAUCAAAAACUCUGGCGACAGCAGAUGCUGGUGAGGAUGUGGAGAAAGAGAAACACUCCCCCAUUGUUGGUGGGAUUGCAAACUGGCACAACCAUUCUGGAAAUCAGUCUAGAGGUUCCUCAGAAAACUGGAUAUUGCACUACCCGA